AAUAGUAGCAUGACAAAUCAGAUUUUUCUUCCUGAUUUUCAGCUUUUUCUUCUUGAAAAAAUCCAAAUCCAACUAAAAAUGCUAAAAAUCGGGAGGAAAAAUAUGAUUUGUCAUGCUUAUAUU
rfam:Gossypium hirsutum cultivar TM-1 unplaced genomic scaffold scaffold154.1, whole genome shotgun sequence